rnacentral:rRNA from 1 species
AUUGAACGCUGGCGGCAUGCCUUACACAUGCAAGUCGAACGGUAACAGGUCUUCGGAUGCUGACGAGUGGCGAACGGGUGAGUAAUACAUCGGAACGUGCCCGAUCGUGGGGAUAACGAGGCGAAAGCUUUGCUAAUACCGCAUACGAUCUACGGAUGAAAGCGGGGGAUCUUCGGACCUCGCGCGGACGGAGCGGCCGAUGGCAGAUUAGGUAGUUGGUGGGAUAAAAGCUUACCAAGCCGACGAUCUGUAGCUGGUCUGAGAGGAUGAUCAGCCACACUGGGACUGAGACACGGCCCAGACUCCUACGGGAGGCAGCAGUGGGGAAUUUUGGACAAUGGGCGAAAGCCUGAUCCAGCCAUGCCGCGUGCAGGAUGAAGACCUUUGGGUUGUAAACUGCUUUUGUACGGAACGAAAAGCCUCUUUCUAAUAAAGAGGGGUCAUGACGGUACCGUAAGAAUAAGCACCGGCUAACUACGUG